rnacentral:rRNA from 1 species
UGGGGAAUUUUGGACAAUGGGCGCAAGCCUGAUCCAGCCAUUCCGCGUGAGUGAAGAAGGCCUUCGGGUUGUAAAGCUCUUUCGCAAGGGAAGAAAACUUACUCAAUAACACUGGGUGAGGCUGACGGUACCUUGAUAAGAAGCACCGGCUAACUACGUGCCAGCAGCCGCGGUAAUACGUAGGGUGCGAGCGUUAAUCGGAAUUACUGGGCGUAAAGCGUGCGCAGGCGGUUUUGUAAGUCAGAUGUGAAAGCCCCGGGCUCAACCUGGGAACUGCGUUUGAAACUACAAGGCUAGAGUGUAGCAGAGGGGGGUAGAAUUCCACGUGUAGCAGUGAAAUGCGUAGAGAUGUGGAGGAAUACCAAUGGCGAAGGCAGCCCCCUGGGUUAACACUGACGCUCAUGCACGAAAGCGUGGGGAGCAAACAGG